UGUAUCACCAGUUCUGUGUGCUGUUUCUGUGGAGAUCUGGCAUGAGACACUGCCAUGGUCCUUGGAGCUGCUCUUCCUGGACUUGUGUUUUUAAUGUUGCAGAGGACCUGGGCACAGUAUGGGCCACCACCCCAGCCUUCCAUCUGGGCAGUUCCAGGAGCUGUGGUUUUCAAAGGUAGUGAUGUGACCAUCUUCUGCAGGAUCCCUCCAGGAGUGACCAUUGUGCGUCUAUCCUGUCUUGUACCCAAUACUGCGUU